AGAGUUUGAUCCUGGCUCAGGAUGAACGCUGGCGGUAUGCUUUACACAUGCAAGUCGAACGCAAGUUUUUAACUUGAGUGGCGGACGGGUGAGUAACACGUGAGAAUUCACCUUUAGGUGGGGAAUAACUUUUGGAAACGAUAGCUAAUGCCCCAUAGACUCGAAAGAGAAAAAAGAGCAAUCUGCCUAAAGAGAAGCUCGCGGCUGAUUAGCUAGUUGGUAAGGUAAUGGCUUACCAAGGCGACGAUCAGUAGCUGGUUUGAGAGAACGAUCAGCCACACUGGAACUGAGACACGGUCCAGACUCCUACGGGAGGCAGCAGUGGGGAAUUUUCCGCAAUGGGCGAAAGCCUGACGGAGCAAUACCGCGUGAGGGAUGACGGCCUUUGGGUUGUAAACCUCUUUUAUCAAGGAGGAAGUUCUGACGUGUACUUGAUGAAUAAGCAUCGGCUAACUCCGUGCCAGCAGCCGCGGUAAGACGGAGGAUGCAAGUGUUAUCCGGAAUCACUGGGCGUAAAGCGUCUGUAGGUUGUUUAAAAAGUCUGCAGUUAAAGGUUGAAGCUUAACUUCAAAAAUGCCGUAGAAACUUUUAAACUAGAGGAUGGUAGGGGUAGAGGGAAUUUCCAGUGGAGCGGUGAAGUGUGUAGAUAUUGGAAAGACCACCGAUGGCGAAGGCACUCUACUGGGCCAUGACUGACACUGAGAGACGAAAGCUAGGGGAGCAAAUGGGAUUAGAUACCCCAGUAGUCCUAGCCGUAAACGAUGGAUACUAGAUGUUGUGUGUAUUGACCCAUGCAGUAUCGUAGCUAACGCGUUAAGUAUCCCGCCUGGGAAGUAUGCUCGCAAGAGUGAAACUCAAAGGAAUUGACGG
rnacentral:rRNA from 1 species